rnacentral:rRNA from 1 species
UACGUAGGUGGCAAGCGUUGUCCGGAUUUAUUGGGUUUAAAGGGUGCGUAGGCGGCUUAAUAAGUCAGUGGUGAAAGCCGAUCGCUUAACGAUCGAACUGCCAUUGAUACUGCUAGGCUUGAGUAUAGUUGAGGUAGGCGGAAUUGACAGUGUAGCGGUGAAAUGCAUAGAUAUUGUCAAGAACACCAAUUGCGAAGGCAGCUUACUAAACUAUAACUGACGCUGAGGCACGAAAGUGUGGGGAUCAAACAGG